GUGGGUGGCCAUGCUGGCCUGAAUGUACCUGCUCUUGGAAGCUAAGCAGUCCUGGGCCUGGUCCUAGUACCCUGCAGGAGACCAGAUGGGAAUCCCAGGUGCUGUUGAUA
rnacentral:rRNA from 1 species